AAUUGAUAUAUUUAAUUUUAUGAUAUUAGUAUUAAUGAUAAUUUAUAAUUUUUAAAAUUUUAUAAAAUUUUUAUGUUUAAUUAAUUAUUUAGAAAUAAUUAUUUAAUUUAUAAUUUAAAGUAAUGUGAAUGAAUAUUUAAAAAUAAAAAAAAGUAGAAUUAUUUUUGUACCUUUUGUAUCAGGGUUGAUUAAAAUUUAUUUAAUAAAUUUAAAUAUCUCGAAAAUAAGUGAGCUAAGUUUAUAAUAUUUUUUUUGUUGCAAUAAAAUUAUAAAUAUAAAUUUAGAGAUUAAAUGUUAUUCGAACUUAUUGAUAUCUAGUUUUUUUAGAAAUAAAUUUAAUUUAGAUAUAAAAUCUUUAAUACCUUAAAAUUUAUUUAUAGUAUUAAUUUUUAUAUUAAAAAUUUAUGGGAUAAACUAUAAAUUUAUUUAUAAAAAUUUUUGAUUUUGUUUAUAAUAUUAUGAAGUUAAUAUUUUUUAUUAAUAUAAAAAAUUUAAUAAUUUAGUUAUUAAUUUUAAAAAAUUUAAAUUUUGAAUUUUAUUUAUUCUAUAAAAACAUAUAUUUUAAUUUUUAAGAUAUAGUGAUAAUGAUUAAAUUAGUAAUAAAAGUAUAUUUAAUAAUAUAUAAAUUAUUUAUAUAUAUAUAAUUUAAAGGAACUCGGCAAAAUUGAUUAUUCACCUGUUUAACAAAAACAUGGCCUAUUGAAUAUAAUUUUAGGUCGAUCUGCUCCAUGAAAUAAAUUUAAAUAGCUGCAGUAUAUUGACUGUACAAAGGGUAGCAUAAUAAAUUGUCUUUUAAUUGAAGAAUUGAAUGAAUGAAUUGAUGAAAUAACAACUGUCUCUAUUUUAUUUAAUGAAUUUAAAUUUUUAGUAAAAAUUCUGAAAUUUAAUUAUGGGACGAUAAGACCCUAUAGAAUUUUAUUUAAUAUAAUUAUUUAUUUAAAUUAUUUGUGAAUAUAUAAUUAAUUUAAAUUUGAUUGGGAGGAUUGGUAAAUAAAAAUAACUUUAUCUAAAAAUUAAUUUUGAUGAAAAGAUUUAUUUUUGACUUAUAAUUUAUGAUUAAAAGAAUAAAUUACCUUAGGGAUAACAGCGUAAUAUCUUUUGAUAGACCACAUUGAUAAAGAUGUUUGCGACCUCGAUGUUGAAUUAAGAGAAAAGUUAAACGCAGGAGUUUAAAAUUUUAAGUCUGUUCGACUUUUAAAAUCUUACAUGAUUUGAGUUCAAAUCGACGUAAGUCAGAUUGGUUUCUAUCUAUAAUAAAAUUAAAAUUAUUUGUACGAAAGGACUUUAAUUUUUAAAUUAUUUAUAAUAUUAAUUAAUGAAUAUAUUAAUUUG
rnacentral:rRNA from 1 species